rnacentral:lncRNA from 1 species
GUGACAGAUUUUGAAAGCAUGGUAUAAGAGUUUCAGGUGAAUGCAGUGAUCUUUUCUUGCUGAGAUCUCAGCCUUUUUUGACAGCAAUCUCAAUGUGGCUUCAGAUGCUCAAGUGAAGAAAGACCUGUAGUCAGCAACCACGAACAUCUCUACCUCCUACUAUGUGCUAUGAAGAUCUUUUCUGUGUGCUCAAGUAUUUCUAAUGUUUAAAGUGAUGACAAAUGGCUCCAGUGGCAAAGAAUUGUGAAUGCUGGAAAAACAUCUGCUUAACAGC